CGUUUUCUAAUGAGCAGAGGAUCUUGCUUGUUCUUUUGCUUAUCUGCUGAUAACCCUUUGUUGGAUAAAAUAUAUUAAGUAAGAUAACGUUACAUGUGUUGUGGAACAGAGCCAAGCUAGCGAGCAAGCAAGCAAGUUGAGCAUCAAGCUAGGUGACGUAAAUUGUGUGAGAUGAGAGAUGUAGUUCACUGAGUGGUUUCACACAAAACUAAGUGGUACUAUGACA